rnacentral:rRNA from 1 species
GAUGAACGCUGGCGGCGUGCCUAAUACAUGCAAGUCGAGCGAACGGACGAGAAGAUUGCUUCUCUGAUGUUAGCGGCGGACGGGUGAGUAACACGUGGAUAACCUACCUAUAAGACUGGGAUAACUUCGGGAAACCGGAGCUAAUACCGGAUGAUAUUUUGAACCGCAUGGUUCAAAAGUGAAAGACGGUCUUGCUGUCACUUAUAGAUGGAUCCGCGCUGCAUUAGCUAGUUGGUAAGGUAACGGCUUACCAAGGCAACGAUGCAUAGCCGACCUGAGAGGGUGAUCGGCCACACUGGAACUGAGACACGGUCCAGGCUCCUACGGGAGGCAGCAGUAGGGAAUCUUCCGCAAUGGGCGAAAGCCUGACGGAGCAACGCCGCGUGAGUGAUGAAGGUCUUCGGAUCGUAAAACUCUGUUAUUAGGGAAGAACAUAUGUGUAAGUAACUGUGCACAUCUUGACGGUACCUAAUCAGAAAGCCACGGCUAACUACGUG